GCCCGGGUGGUGAAACAGGUAGACGCAGGGGACUCAAAAUCCCCCGCCGGAAGGCGUGUCGGUUCGAGUCCGACCCCGGGCACCA
rnacentral:tRNA from 1 species